rnacentral:rRNA from 1 species
GACGAACGCUGGCGGCGUGCUUAACACAUGCAAGUCGAACGGGCCUUGUCCCCUUUUUUUUUGGGGGUGGGGUUAGUGGCGAACGGGUGAGUAACACGUGAGUAACCUGCCCCUCACUUCUGGAUAACCGCUUGAAAGGGUGGCUAAUACGGGGUGUUCUGGCCUGCUCGCAUGGGUGGGUUUGGAAAGAUUCGACCGGUUUGGUUGUUUUGGUGGGGGAUGGGCUCGCGGCCUAUCAGCUUGUUGGUGGGGUGAUGGCCUGCCAAGGCUUUGACGGGUAGCCGGCCUGGGAGGGUGGGCGGUCACACUGGGACUGAGACACGGCCCAGACUCCUACGGGAGGCAGCAGUGGGGAAUAUUGCACAAUGGGCGCAAGCCUGAUGCAGCGACGCCGCGUGAGGGAUGGAGGCCUUCGGGUUGUGAACCUCUUUCGCCAGUGAAGAAGGUCCUGCUCUUUGUGGUGGGGUUGACGGUAGCUGGGUUAAUGAAGCGCCGGCUAACUACGUG